UACGUAGGGUGCGAGCGUUGUCCGGAAUCACUGGGCUUAAAGCGUGUGUAGGCGGAUCGUUAAGUGCCUUGUGAAAUCCCACGGCUCAACCGUGGAACUGCUUGGCAUACUGGCGGUCUUGAGCAACCUAGGGGCGAGCGGAACAAAUGGUGGAGCGGUGAAAUGCGUAGAUAUCAUUUGGAACGCCAAUGGUGAAAACAGCUCGCUGGGGGUUUGCUGACGCUGAGACACGAAAGCCAGGGGAGCAAACGGG
rnacentral:rRNA from 1 species